ensembl:lncRNA
AUGUUAUAAGGAGAUAAAAGUGAAAAUGAAACGACAAAGGAAAUGAGCCAGAAAAUCAGACCUCUGGACAAUUAAAAUUCAGUGUCCAAGUCAAACCAGUGACAAUCUUUUAGGUAGAUUGUAUAAAUUCAGCUUAUUGUAGAUUUUAAAAGAAAACAAUUUUGAAGUUUCUUAUCACCAGGAACAGCUGCUAGACCUCCAAAUGGAACUUCCUAAUGAGUGUGGAAACAAAAUCUGUUUCUUUAUUUCCCAGAUACCCCGUAUUUGCCUGGCUACCAACCAACACUGACCAGCUGCUGCUCUCUAUUCUCCAGCCACCUGGUCUUACUGCUGACAUUUGAGUUUGGAAAGAGUAUGUGCUUCUUUCUAAAUAUUCCAGAUAUUAUCCCUUAUUUGCACUGUAGCUGGCUUCUGGAUUGACUCUAAUAGAAAAUGUCAAAAUCUCCCUAGUCUUUCUUGAGACACAAUGAAGUGCUUGGAGGGUGUCAUUGAGGAGACUGGCAGUCAUUGUCCCUUCCUUGUUCUGUGUUUGUCAGUAGUGUGGAGAUAGAGAAACUUAAAUCUACAUUUGCAAGACCCUUUCACAAGGAGGAUUCUUGAUGUAAUAUAGUUUAUCCAGUUAAGUUGAAAAAGGAAAGGAAGCAGAGCUAUACAUUUGCAACUGCUGCUAUGACUCCUGUAAAGUUUGGUCAGGAAGCCUCUGGGAUUUUCUGCAGCUGCGCUUUAGUUGGAGAUCAAUUACAGAGCCAUCGUGAAAAUCAUCAGGUGAUGGAAGUUUCAGUGAAUAGUCAUCAGGUAUUGAAAAUGUAGAUUUAAGCCUUCUCAAUCUCCACACUACUGACAAACAAAGAAGGAAAGAAGAAUGGCGGCCAUAGUAUCCUCCAUGAGACCCUUCAAACACUUCACUGUCUCAUCAAGUGUGUGAAUUGAGAGGCAGGAUGUGGUAGCUGAAUAUCGACUUUCUGAUUCCUGGACAGAAGCUAGGGCUGUGUAUUUGUGGAUCCAGCAAUUCCUUGGAGGUUUACGCCCACCAUAUGCAGGGCUUCAGGAGGAAGAAAGCCUUUCUAGUGGAGGUCAUUAGCAUCACUGGAGGUCAACAGUAGCUGCUGAGGGAGAGACUGACCCAUCUCAAGAAGGAAAAUUGUGUGGAGCCACAAGUGAGAUUUGAAUUCAUGUGUGGACCUGGAGCUUCUGAAAGAUAGAGAAGAUUUUUCCGACUGAAACAACAUAUUAAAGGCCAAGGGCAUCCCGAAAUCUCAGAAGAAAACUAUAGCCUGUUGGAAAAUGAGAACUGGACUCUUAUUCUGCUCUGCAUCUGUGUAGAUGAAGCCCCGACACACAGCCUAACGGUUAAUGACUUCUUGAAUCUCACUGCUGCUGCGCUCCAUUCCCUGGCUGCAAAAUGGAGAAAGCACCUGGAUCCACAGUGAUGACAUCUGUCUGACCUAGCAUUUCUCCACCUGCCAUCUCUGACUGACCUUGGCCAUGUCUUUUGGAUGGCUUGGAUGCCACACUCUGCUGUACACUGUCACUCACCAAUCUCACCACUUUGAAUGCUAACCUGAACUCUGCUUGAGUUUGCCUCAUCCCUUGCCCUUUACUAGACUAUUCAUUCAGCUAAAGCAAGAGUAACAACUGUCCUUUCCACAGUUUUUGCUUCUGCUGAGUCUCUGUUGGAAAACAUUCAACAUCCUUAUACCUAAAUCCCCUCAUGUUAUGGACAACAUCUAAGCAAUAAUAAGCGUAAUAGAUAAAAUGAAGUAUCUUAUUAAAUUCAUUAAUUACCUGGUUGAGAAUAGGAUGCUGAAAUAAAAGAAAUCAUGUGUUUUUCUGCUUGUUUUUUUGGGUUUUUUUGUUUUUAUAAGAAAGAGGAACAGUUUCAUGAGAAUCUUCCCAGAAUGGGAAAUUUUAGUGACUUAGCAAAAUUGGGUGCUUGAGCAAUCUGGUGGCGGUAUGAUGUCAGGGGUGUGGAAGAGAACAGACACAAAUGCGCUGAUGAGUAAAUAGAGUUGAUGCAAUGGACAAUACUGAACAUCUAUCCUUAAGCUCUUUUCCAAUGUUUCCUGGGACUCUGGUCAAAACUUCAAAUAAAUCUGCUUUAAAAGUCCCAGUAAGAAAUCUUCCUCUCUCUGCAAAUGGAUGGCUGUUGUCCACUUCUAGGAGACUGUAAUUUAACUCCAUAGAAAAGGUCAAACAAACAUACUCUGAACUGAAGGACACCAGUCCUCAGGUGCAAGCAGGAUUCCUGUACUGAAAAAAAAUAGAUGGACAAGAACAAUUGCAUACUGAAUACUGACACUCUCAGUGGUCUUGUCCAACUAGGUUCCCAGAAUUCUGCCAGCUCAUCUCUCCCAAGACCUGGAAGGUUAUUCUCUGAAGACUCGGACCAACCAAAGGGGAAAAAGCUCAUUAUUCAUGUGUGUAGAUUAGUGAUCAUGGUUAUCUUUGGAUUAUAUAGUGCUUUAUACUUUUCUGUAUUCUUCCCAUUUUCUAUAAUAAGCAUGUAUUUAUUCAUCUUUAAUCAUAAAAAUUAAUAUUCAUGAGUAAAUACUUCUGGGCACUAUGCUAAGCAACUUAAAUUCAUUAUCUCUUUUAAUUCUCACGGUAAUCUUAGAAGUUAGGUAUUAUUUAAUUGUCACUUAAUAAUUGAGGAAACAUGGUCCUAGAGGUUAAAUAAUUGUUCACCAUCAGGUAACUAAUAACUGACUGACUUAGAUUUGAACCCAGUCUGUCUGGCUCCAAGCCAGUGUUGUGACUCAGUACCUUAAAAUGCCUCAAACAAUUUUAAAACGUUUUUCAAAGGAGGGGUUUCUAAACUCCUCAAAUUAUCCAAUCUCUUUAUUUUCAUAUCUUGCUCUAAUAAGCAUCAAAUUAUAUUUCAUAGCCAUUUCUUAUUUCUCCAGUUUCUGAUCUCAUAAUUUGUUUUAUUGUUUGUUUGUUUAUGCCCAGCUACAUCCUUUGAACAUGAUGUUUGAUACCUGACUCUGCUUUAAUUGAUAUAAAUGGUCAGAAGUGCUGUGGGGCUUUGGUAACACCCCUUAGGCAAUGUGUGGAGA